GACGAACGCUGGCGGCGUGCUUAACACAUGCAAGUCGAACGGAAAGGCCCUGCUUGCAGGGUACUCGAGUGGCGAACGGGUGAGUAACACGUGGGUGAUCUGCCCUGCACUUCGGGAUAAGCCUGGGAAACUGGGUCUAAUACCGGAUAGGAGCCAUUUUUAGUGUGAUGGUUGGAAAGUUUUUUCGGUGUAGGAUGAGCUCGCGGCCUAUCAGCUUGUUGGUGGGGUAAUGGCCUACCAAGGCGGCGACGGGUAGCCGGCCUGAGAGGGUAGACGGCCACAUUGGGACUGAGAUACGGCCCAGACUCCUACGGGAGGCAGCAGUGGGGAAUAUUGCACAAUGGGCGCAAGCCUGAUGCAGCGACGCCGCGUGGGGGAUGACGGCCUUCGGGUUGUAAACUCCUUUCGCUAGGGACGAAGCUUUUUGUGACGGUACCUAGAUAAGAAGCACCGGCUAACUACGUG
rnacentral:rRNA from 1 species